rnacentral:rRNA from 1 species
CCUACGGGAGGCAGCAGUGGGGGAUAUUGCACAAUGGGCGAAAGCCUGAUGCAGCUACGCCGCGUGUGGGAAGACGGUCUUCGGAUUGUAAACCUCUGUCGUUGGGGAAGAAGAUGACGUUACCCAAAGAUGAAGCUCCGGCUAACUACGUGCCAGUAGCCGCGGUAUUACUUAGUGAGCGAGCGUUGUCCGGAAUUACUGGGUGAAAAGGGAGCGUAGGCGCGGAUGAAAGUUGGAUGUUUAAACUAUCGGCUCAACCGGUAAUUGCAACCAAAACUGCAACUCUUGAGUGAAGUAGAGGCAGGCGGAAUUCCUAGUGUAGCAGUGAAAUGCGUAGAUAUUAGGAGGAACACCAGUGGCGAAGGCAGCCUGCUGGGCUUUAACUGACGCUGAGGCUCGAAAGCGUGGGGAGCAAACAGGAUUAGAUACCCUUGUAGUC